rnacentral:rRNA from 1 species
UACGUAGGGUGCAAGCGUUAAUCGGAAUUACUGGGCGUAAAGCGUGCGCAGGCGGUUUUGUAAGUCUGUUGUGAAAUCCCCGGGCUCAACCUGGGAAUGGCAAUGGAGACUGCAAGGCUAGAGUUUGGCAGAGGGGGGGUAGAAUUCCACGUGUAGCAGUGAAAUGCGUAGAUAUGUGGAGGAACACCGAUGGCGAAGGCAGCCCCCCUGGGUCAAAAACUGACGCUCAUGCACGAAAGCGUGGGGAGCAAACAGG